CAACCCCAGGGGUUAGUAUUUGAUCACAUCCAGAAAUUGCCAAUCCCUGACUCAGGCUGUCUCCAGAGGAGCUUCUGGAAGACCCUGACCACCCUGUGACAAUGAAUCAUGGAGAGCUUCCCAGGGGAAGGGUCUUGGGAAGGGUUGGCUCCACUUCAGGGAGGGCCUCAGGCACAAUCAGACUCCCCAACAGGGGCUUAUGACUAGUGACCCUGGGGCCCAUCAGAUCCUCCAUUGCCCCUACUGCUUCAAAAAAGUCUGGAUCACUGGCAUCCAAGGUCCUCACCACCUUACCAUUCUUAUCUACAACCUUAUGCUCUAUGACCCCAACUUCAAAGACAUCUUUAUUCUUGAACAUCUAUUUUAUGCCAGACACUUCACAGGCAUUAUGUUCUUCAUCCAUUCAGCAAACACAGACUGAGGGAUCAUCCUGGUCCAGGCAUUGUUCUAGGCCUUGGGCAAACAAAAGCGACACGGAGCCUGUCUUCAUGGACACUCUGAUAAGGAAUCAUCCCCGUUUUACAGGUGAGAAACUGAGGCUCACAGAGGUGUUGGGCUGCAGAGCAGUGACUUGAACACAGACACGCCUAACUCCAACACAGUUCUUUCCAUCCCUAUACUUUUCUGUAGCCACCUGAAGCCCCUAGACCGUGGUGGUGAGCCAUACCUCCAGGGCUUUGCAUGAGCAGCUCCCUCUGCCUGGAAUGGCCUCCUCACCUCUUCUCUAACCAGCUGAUCCCCUUUUGUUCCUCCAGGCUUUUCUCAACUUCACCUCCUUCUCUUCCUCACCACCUCAACACCCCCACCUCCCUGGGCUGGCAGAAGUGCCCCUCCUACUCCCAGACACCUCAGGUCCCUAUCCUUGCCUGGAGUUGCUCAUGGCCUUCUUUGAUUGUUGGUCUCUACUGAAAGGUGGGCCCCUGUGAGCACCAUUGUCUCCUCAGGUCUGAGUCACCAAUGUCCAAUGUGAUUUGGGUCAGAGGAUCAGGGCCUGUCGGUUCAACCUCCCCUUUGUCCUGAGAUGCUUCCCCAGGGCAUGGCAUAGUUGGAAAACCAGUCCCCUGGAAGAAAGUUUUGGUGCCUGUUGAAAUAAAGUGGCUUCUGGAGGAGCUGGCUUGAAUCACUCAUACCUCCACGGGAACACGUCUUCCAGAGCUGGCUUGGGUAAGGAGGAGCUCCUGUCUGAAGGUCUUGCUUCCAAGGAUGCCCUCUAGGGAGCACUGUGGGAGAGGGGCUGUCUGGGGAAGGUGGCUGUGUUUCUUUCCCCUUCCAUACAGUUUAGUUCCCCCCCAGUCCCAGAUGGCCAACUGAGCCAUCCUCUGCUGCCACAGACCUCCUGCCAUGUGAAGAUUCCAGCUCUGACCAAACAAAGUUCUUCUAUAUCUGGCCUGUCUCAGCUCUUCCACCUGGAUCUCCCUUCCCCCUUUGCAUCUACAUUAUACAUUCCAGCAAGUUCUCAAACAUUCUCUGAGCAUACAAUACAGUUUUACACCUCGAUGCCUUGCACCUUGAACAUUGGCUAAAAGGGAGGUGAGAGUCUCCAUUUCUUAUCGGCCAACCCCUUGUCCAGAAUCUCCAGGCUGAGAAACUACUUUCCUCUGCUUUUCCCAGUGGGUGAGGUCUUGAAUCAGGGCCAGAGGGACUCCAGAAAUUCUCCCUAUCUUAGUCACUUUUCUCCCCAUUGACCCCACAGCUGGCCAGAGAGGGAAGUGGAAACUCCCUAGUGUGUGGGGACUUCUAAUCUUUGCUCUCUGUGCAGGGACAAGAUGGAGACUCAGCACAAUUCCACUCCCUUCCCUUCCCAGCCCUAUCCUGGGAUGGGAGGGACAGAAGAACAGUGCAGGGGGCAAAGGUUGGGAACUGGUCUGGGGAGGCUGAGGAAGGUGUGGAGGUUGGAGGAAGGGAACUGACAUCUAACAUUUACAGAGAACUACUAAGCUCCAGCACCCAUUGCAGAUUUUAUUUGUUACCACCCCAACUGUCAUCUUAACCCCCAAAAGGUAUUCAAGCCCUGGAGUUAGCUGUGGCAUCUGGAUGGAAAAGGCUGCAAGGAAAAGAAGGUGGAAAGAUCCAGAAUCAGUUAGGAAUCCAGGUUACACUGCUUGCUGCUGUGUUUCCAGGUCUAUCUGGUACAUACUGGCUGAUCAACAAAUAUCUGUGCAAUGAAAUUAUUAGCUGUGUGACUUUGGGAAAAUUUUUUAACUUUCCUCAAUGCCCUCACAGUGAAAUGCUGGUCAUACUGUGGGGCUUCAAUUUGAGAAGAUUAAAUGAACAAAGAGGGGAAAGCCUGGAGAUGUGUAGAAUGAGCUCAACAACAAUUAGUUGACAAUAAAAAUCAAAGUCCUGCUAUGAUCUGGCUGGGAUGAAAUUCUGGAUCAUGGAAAAGAUAUGGAAACUGGGGCACACUGAGAUGCAAACACUGCAUGCUGAUAGCCACAUGGUACUGCCUCAGGGAUCUAGUCCAUCAAGAGAGUGGCUGGAGAGUGGCUGGGAGACUGAGAGGUUCCCAAGAGGCCAUUGGAAGAUUCUGGCUCAGGGGGAAUUUAGUAUUCACCUGCCCAGGUGAGGAGAGCCCAGGGUCUGAAACAGAGGGCAAGGAAAUGAAUGCAGCUGAAAGUGGGAGGCAGAACAAGUCUUAGGAAAGCAAGUUCAAGCAGUAGGAGCAGUUCAAGCAGUAGAAGCAAUGAUUUGAAGCAAGGGGAUAGUGGCUGCUGAUGGCCAGGGAGGGUUUUGGAUGACUGACAGCUCUAAAAUUUGAUGUAGAAAAUCCAGUUCUUGGGGCACCUGGGAGGCUCAGUUGGUUGAGUGUCCGACUUCAGCUCAGGUCAUGAUUUCAUGGUUUGUGAAUUUGAGCCCCACGUUGGGCUCUGUGCUGACAGCUCGGAGCCUGGAGUCUGUUUCAGAUUCUGUGUCUCCCUCUCUCUCUGCCCCUCCCCUGCUCACUCUGUCUCUCU